GUCCCUGUAGCACAAUGGAUAGUGCGUUGGAAUUCUUAUUCAAAGAUCGUGGGUUUGAAUCCCACCUGGGAUG
rnacentral:tRNA from 1 species